CCCCGGUAAACGGCGGCCGUAACUAUAACGGUCCUAAGGUAGCGAAAUUCCUUGUCGGGUAAGUUCCGACCUGCACGAAUGGCGUAAUGAUGGCCAGGCUGUCUCCACCCGAGACUCAGUGAAAUUGAACUCGCUGUGAAGAUGCAGUGUACCCGCGGCAAGACGGAAAGACCCCGUGAACCUUUACUAUAGCUUGACACUGAACAUUGAGCCUUGAUGUGUAGGAUAGGUGGGAGGCUUUGAAGUGUGGACGCCAGUCUGCAUGGAGCCGACCUUGAAAUACCACCCUUUAAUGUUUGAUGUUCUAACGUGGACCCGUAAUCCGGGUUGCGGACAGUGUCUGGUGGGUAGUUUGACUGGGGCGGUCUCCUCCUAAAGAGUAACGGAGGAGCACGAAGGUUGGCUAAUCCUGGUCGGACAUCAGGAGGUUAGUGCAAUGGCAUAAGCCAGCUUGACUGCGAGCGUGACGGCGCGAGCAGGUGCGAAAGCAGGUCAUAGUGAUCCGGUGGUUCUGAAUGGAAGGGCCAUCGCUCAACGGAUAAAAGGUACUCCGGGGAUAACAGGCUGAUACCG
rnacentral:rRNA from 1 species